UAAAAGAGAAGCCUUCGGCCACGGCUCUGUGGGGAGGAGCUGCUUCCCGCCGGGGAGGAGAGAUCGCGUGUGGGGCGGGAGCUGCCUCCCUGGGGGCAGCGCUGUUCCGCUCCUCCUCCCCUCCGUCCCGUCCGCGCAGCGGAAGAAGUCCAUUCUCCUCCCAGACAGGAAGCUUUUCCCCAGUUGUGCCUGUCCCCUUGUCUCUCCGUACCAGACCCCUACUUUGCCCAGUCUUUUCUACCAGCAUCCCCGUGACUGAUGUACUGGAAUUGAAUCCAGCAACUGGAGUGCCCAAGAUAGGAGAGAGAACUCCAUGGCCUAGCUCAGCAAUGCUAAGGACAAAUUGCCUGUUUCCUUGAAGUUAACCCCAAGCUGACUCCUCGCUGCAGACAGUUUCCCAAAGAUGAUGCUGGGCAGAGCAGCUUCUUGCUGUCUCAGCUAUGGAAGGCAACCUUUGUGCUAACUGGAAGACUUCUGUGGAAAAACCUCUAGCAACAAGUCCUCCAUCCUUCAUUGCCUUGCUGAAGGUAUACCGAGAGCUCCUGGUUAGUAAGAUCCGACACACCCAGUGUUUGAUUGACAACUUGAUUAACAAUGAGUACUUCUCCACUGAAGAUGCAGAGAUUGUUGUCCAGUUUCCAACUCAAGCAGAUAAGGUUCGCAAAAUUCUAGACUUGGUUCAAAGCAAAGGAGAGGAAGUUUCAGAAUAUUUCAUCCGUGUCCUGCAGAAAGUCACUGAUGCUUACUAUGAACUUCAGCCUUGGCUGGAUGAAAUAGGUUACCAGCCAUCAGAGAAUAUUUGUAGUAAACCUGUCGUAAAUACAGAUCCAGUUAGCAGGUAUUGCCAAAAACUCAGAUAUGAACUGGGACGGGACUCCAAAUUUGUUAUGUCAUAUGCUCAGAGGGAAGAGAUGCUGCUUGAAGAAAUCUACUCUAACAGUAUUAUGGAGAUGGUCAAUUUUACCAAUGAGAGCCUGGGUGAAGUGUGUCAAUUACAAGCCCUUUUUGAUGAUGCAGCUGGGGUUAUAAAUGAAGAUGGAGAGACUAUUUAUGUCUUUGGCGAUGCAGGAAUUGGAAAAUCUAUCUUGCUGCAAAAGAUACAAAGUCUUUGGGCCAAGAAACAGUUGGAUAUAGGGGCCAAUUUUUUCUUCCAUUUCCGAUGUAGAAUGUUUAGUUGCUUUAAGGAAGAUGAAACCAUAUGUUUGAAAGACUUACUCUUCAGAUAUAAUUGCUACCCAGAUCAGGACCCCGCAGAGGUGUUCCAUCACAUCUUGCAGUUCCCUCAUACAGUUCUUUUCACAUUUGAUGGCUUCGAUGAGAUCUAUUCCAACUUUGAUCUCAGUAGUGUUCCUGAGAUGUGUUCACCCGAUGAACCCAUCCACCCUCUGGUGCUACUGGUAAGCCUUCUCAGAGGAAAGCUUCUUAAGGGAUCCAAGAAAAUUCUUACAGCGCGGACAGGAACUGAGAUCCAAAGAAAUAUCAUUAGAAAGAAAGUGUUGCUUCGUGGUUUCUCCAGCAAUAACCUGAAGGAAUACACUGCCAUGUUUUUUAAAGAUGUGGGGCAGCGAACGCUGGUAUUGAACCAGCUGGAAGCUAACCCCAACCUCCACAGUUUGUGUUCAGUGCCUUUAUUUUGUUGGAUUAUCUUUAAAUGUUAUGAACACUUCCAUUCCAUGUUCGACAGCCAUGAGCUUCCAGACUGUUCUGUUACACUGACAGAUGUAUUUUUGCUCAUGAUUGAAGUCCAUCUGAACCGGUCUCUGAAAGCAAGUUUGCUGAAGGACAAUGCCAGGAGCCAAGUGGAGGUGUUCAAAUCAAGAAAGGAAACUCUUCUAGCUUUGGGUAAAAUUGCAUACAAAGGGAUGGGGAACUCUAUCUUUAUCUUUGAGCAGGAGGAGGUCUCAUCGGCGAACAUCUCUGAGGAAGAUUUGCAGUUGGGUUUUCUCAGGACAGUUAAAGGUUAUAGUGGCUGUGAUGAUCAAUCCACUUAUGAGUUCUUGCACUUAACCCUUCAGUCUUUUUUCACCGCUUUCUUCCUAGUUAUUGAAGAGAGAGUGGGGACUAAGGAGUUACUUCAGUUUUUCAAUGAAUGCUCUUCUGCUGAGACUGCCCAGCGUACUUGCUUUCGUGUUCCUUGGUUGAACAAACCACUCACAGGGGAGGAUCCUUUCCGAAACAAUGAACACUUCCAUUUUACCAACCUUUUUCUUUGUGGCCUGCUUUCCAGAUCCAAGGAGAAGCUCUUCAAACAUUUAGUUUUGCCUGCAGUCAUUAGAAAGAAGAGAAAGACACUCAUUGCAUACCUUGGGGAGAGCAUGAAAUCCCAUCUGAAGGGUGUCACUCGGUCCAGGCUCCCAAAGUACAAUCAGGUGCAGGUUCAGCCAAACUUUGUUUGGAUGCUGAGGUGUCUUUAUGAGACUCAAAGCGAGAAAGUGGGAAAGCUGGCUGCGAAACGCAUGCAUGCCAAUUACAUCAAGCUUACAUACUGCAAUGCCUACUCUGCUGACUGCAGUGCUAUUUCCUUUGUCAUGCAUCACUUUCAAAAGCGCAUGGCUCUGGAUUUGGACAACAACAACAUCAAUGACUAUGGAGUGAAACAGCUGCUACCAUGUUUCAGCAAGCUUGCGGUGAUCAGGCUCAGUGUAAAUCAGAUCUCAGAUCAUGGAGUAAGGAUAUUGUAUGAAGAACUCUCCAAGUACCAGAUUGUGUCUUACUUGGGCUUAUACAACAAUCAGAUCACUGACAUUGGAGCCAAAUAUGUUGCAAAACUCAUUGAAGAAUGUUCAAGCCUUGAAUAUGUUAAAAUAGGAGCAAACAAAAUAACUAGCGGAGGAGGGAAGUGCCUUGCCCAGGCCAUCCAGAAGAGCAAGACGAUGUUUGAAAUCGGGAUGUGGGGCAAUCAGGUUGGAGAUGAAGGUGCAAAGGCAUUUGCAGAAGCCCUGAGGAACCACCCCACAUUGACAAACGUGAGUCUCGCAUUCAAUGGCAUCACAACAGAAGGGGGCAAAAGCAUUGCUGAAGCUUUGCAGCACAACAACUCCGUGAAAAUAUUCUGGUUGACAAAAAAUGAGCUGGAUGAUGAGGCAGCAAUGAGUUUUGCAGAGAUGCUGAAGGUCAACAAGAAACUGGUGCAUUUAUGGCUUAUCCAGAAUCAAAUUACAGCCAAAGGAGUGAAGUACCUCAGUGAAGCUCUCAAGGAGAACACGGCAAUUAAAGAAGUCUGUUUGAAUGGAAACCUGAUAAGUCAAGAAGAAGCCAAAGCUUUUGAAAGUGAAGAACGGAUCGUUUGCUUCUGAGUGAGGACUUCCCCAUUUGGACAAGUUCUGUGUUACAGAAACCACCACGCUCGGACUACAGUGUUAUAGAGGCAUACAGAGGCAGUGCUCAUGGCGCUGCCUGCUAUCCCUUAUCCUUUUGGAACUUGGCAGAACAAUUGAUGCCCCCACAGAACAUUGGUGGACUGAAGAAGAACCUCCCAUUAAAAUGCCAAACCCCAUUUCACAAAUCUGCAGCAAAAACAAACACAGAAGGCUUUCUGGGUAGGUCAGAGUUUCUCCUAUUCCUGCCUGGAAGCAGACCUUUACCAGCCCUCAGUUCUGCCUACUCCAUUUCCCUAACAUAUUAUAAAAUACUCACAGCUUUUCACAGUUAAAAAAAAAAGACACGAAAACCAGCGUAGCAGUUCGUACUUGUCAGUGGCUUUUCCUCCUGCCCAUGCUGCCAGCACUGACUGCUCAGAGGCUGCCAGGCAGGCGAGGCUCUCAGGCUGUGCCAGCUAACAGGAAUGGUUUCUGCACCUGAGCCAUUUGUUUACUGAGAACAUGAGAGUCUCCUGGGCUGCAGCAGGUCGAGGCAGCCUCACAGUUGGCAGAUAGAGCAAGCAAGCCCACUGGGGCACAGCCCAGCACCAAUGACAGUGCCAGGGAGCAUGCCAGAUGCACCCAUUCAUCUCAGAGCGGAUUUCAGGUUGCAAGAGCUCACUUGGGCCAGCCCCGACAUCUGGGCAGUGCUCAGGCUGCUUUGGCAAGAGCAGCCCAGGGCAGAGGCCAGCCUCAUGCAUCAGCUCAUGGCUGGAGCUGGAGAAACCAGCAGCUGCUGCAGGCAGCCAGAGCAUCUCCAUGCACUGGCAUGGUGGGCUGCAAUCCUUCCCAUGCAGUCUUAUCAGCCUACUUGUAGAGAGUUUCUGAUCCACAUCUUAGGCUCACAGCAAGAGCCAUCUGUACUUAAAUUCAGACACAAGUAUAACUUUUUUUUUUUUUUAAAGACUUGCUUGUAAUUUGCUAAGACGUUCUCAGUAUGCAGCAUUAUUUUUUCUACUUGUCCGCUGUUGCAACAAACAACUUUAUAAAGAACCUCAGCAACUCCCUGCAAGAUCUUUGGGCUUGAUGAAGCACUGUUGAGCAGACACACGGCUGGACUGAGCCAGGAAUGAGGCAGUCCAGCUCAUUCUUCUGGCUGCCGCAGACAGGGGAGAACUGCCGCUCGCUUGGCCUUGCAUGGGGCCACAGACUUAAUAGCUGGUGAAACAGUUCCUGAAGCAAACAGUAGUGGCUGCACACAAAGGAGCUGUCUCUUGCUUUUGUAGGUAGAAACAGAAUACAAGGAGCAGCUGGGUGGAAACAGCAGCCAGACUGGGAACCGCACUCAGAGCACUGAGCCAUAGACAAUAGUUUCUGUUGGUUUGCUUAGGGGUCAGAGCAGGUGAGGCCUCUAAAAGUGUGUUUACAUGCCAAUGGUGCACCAUUCCUCGCUGCCAGCCCCCGGGGGCACAGUGACAUUAGGGCAGCACAGCAGAGGUCACUGCCAUGCAGCUGGGCCUUUGCGUGCAGCUCUGCCUGCUUGCAUUGGUGCAGAAAGCAGCCAGAAUCCAACCAGCCUUGGGUAGAACCCAUCUCCCCCAUUGGGCUGCUCUCAGGGGAAGAGCCCCCGAGCUCGAGCGAGCCCUUGGCAAACAACUGAACUGCUGCCUACCACGUGAGUGCCGGGGUUUGGCCUGCACAGGAGGCAGCGGCUUAAUCAGCUGCGAUAGCCUCGCCAGCCGGGAGGCCUCAGGCUGGAGCAAAUAAAGCCUUCAGGCGUUUGUGCUCCCGCUACCUGCCAGGCUCUUUAAUCCUGACUCCAGCAGAUGUUAAUCCUGGCACGGGUGGCUUCUAAAGAGCUUUCCUCUGAACUGGUCACUGGGUGCCCUGGGCAGGGAGCAGGUUGAGGAGGCCCUGCCGCUUGGCCCACAGUGGGACUUCUAGUAGGUGCCAAAGCACGCAGGCUGUGGGUUUUCCUUCUCCUAACAUUUGGAGCCUGCUUACAGAACCAGUGAGGGGGGGGAGAAGUGCCUUGGUUAAAAUUUAAACACAUGUUCAAACAAAGACAUCAGUAACCAGGGCAAAAAGGAAAAGCAGGGCAGGAGCCUGACGCAAAGCGUGGCUCUGAGCACAAGGGCUGAGGCCAGAGGGCAGCGAGCACCUGCAGCCCCCACCAAGCUCAGACGAGGACUCGUCCCCACGCUUUUAAUAUCUGCCUCUAUUCUGCUGCCUUUAUGAGGAGUGAGUCAUCAUGCGUCAGCCGACGAUGGGCUUUACACAAUUAUUUAUUUAUGUUGAACCCUCCUCCCCGCCCCCGCGCAUCCCUGAUCUCAUCCCCCCUCAGAAAACAGAUGCUUUAUGGAAUGAGGGUGGAAAGCUCCAUCCCAAAGGCGGCCUGUUGUUGCUGCACACGGGCACAGCUGCCCACCAGGCAGGACAGGGCCAGGCACCUGCGCCUGCUCAGGCAUGCAGAGCCCUGGAAGGAGCACAAGGCCCUCAAGAACCAGGAUGGAAAACAUCCCUAUUCAGCUCCAGCUACCACAGGAACUCUCCCUGAAAUAUCCCUUGGCCAUCGGCCAUGCGUUUUCCUCCCCUUGCUGCUCAAAGUAGUGCUGCAUCAGGAAGCAAAUACUGGCCUUACUCAUACAGGGCCCUGCAGGCAAACAGCCUGCGGCCGUGUUGGUGGCCCCAGGGUGAGCGAGUGGGGCAGAGCUGGCACCGCAGGCUAUGGGGAGAAUGGGGAGCCAGCAGGGGCCACUGAGUUGGAUUUCCCAUGUGAAAUCCCUUGCCUGCUGGAAGGGACUCCCUCGAGCAAUGCAAAGCCAAACCCUGCUCUCUCACUGAUCAUCAGUCACCCUCAUAGCAAGGCUCUCAUUUCAUGGGCCCAAGGCAGAGGAGAAGAACACAGGGGUUACUGGCAAGAAAGGAACUCAUCCUUCCCAGAAGGCAACAGGAGAAAAAAUAAAGUUUCACUAGGAAGAGGUAUAGGAACUCGUCCCUCAGUAAUGACACCCAGCUGUCUCCAGGCACAGACGUGAAUAACUCACAUGUUAAAACUCUCAUCUCCCAAGGAGAGAGCUGCAGGGGUGGCAACUGUCACCAUGCCUCAGCACGCUGCCCCAGACAGCACAAAGCAGAGAGGACAAGCAGCCCCAGCACAUCUGUGCAGAACGCCUUGCUCUGGGAGCAGUGGGGCACCACAAGCAGGUGCUUCCUGCCUGCAGGGUGAACUCGCUGCCCGCACGUGACCCCCUGCAGUGCACUCUGGGUUUGCUCAGAGCACACGCAGCCUCUCCCCGGAUGAGCGAUGGCGGUGGGGAAAACCAGCAUCUCCAUCGCAGCAUCACCUGCACAUCCGCAGAAGAGUAGUUCUUCCCCUCUUUAAACCACCCGUGAGCUUCCCAUCGGUGGGGCUGGCUGACGGGGCAAGCUCUAUACGCUAAUCUCGACAGCCAUUAUGCUGUUAAGGAGCACCAGAGCAGCCACCAGCCUACCACAGCCCGCCCCAGCCACCGCUCACAAAAUGGCGCCGCCCGCCCAGGGCAGGAGGGCUCCCGGCUCCUACCUGCAGUCAGCGCCUCCAGCCAGGGGCACCCAUGGCUCCUCCUUCCUCUGCAGCACAGGCGUGCAGCAGCUCUGCCACGUUCAGCAGGACUUUACAACAAAAGUCACCUGGAAGUGCGGGGAGAGCUGUGCUUCCAAAGAUUUAUUACAUAUAUUUGUACAUAUUUUACAGGAAUGGAAUGUUAACGUACAACCUAAAAAUCAAUAAAAAAAUAUUUUCAUUCAUGA